rnacentral:tRNA from 1 species
UCGGCGCAUGGUCAACGCGGAGCAGAUCGGGCUGCUCGGCACGGCCGUGGUGCUCGGUGGAGCGAUCGCCGCGCUCACCCUGAGC